ensembl:lncRNA
CCACCGGGUUGUGUAACAACGUUACUGCCGAAGAGGUGAAACCAGGAGAAUUUAAUCUGCCACUCAGUGGAAAGGAUUUAAGUAAAGACAGACACACAUCCACUCAGACUCACACUAGUCAGAUUAUGGGGACAUCUCCCCUUCAUAGGGUGCAGCACAGAACGGUUCGAGGAAUAGAGGAUUCCAGAUUGGGUUGAUGGGGGAAUUCUAGAUACUAAACAGGGGAUUCGUUUGAACAUCGAAGUUAGUCUGAAUGUCAACAAAUGUACUGCGCUAUACUCAUUAGUUACUUAGCAUCUAUGUAAGCCUCACUUCUCUAGCACAAUGCCUGAUUGUCAAGUUUGUCUCUUAUUGAUUGCUUUUGUUGAUGGAAAUGUACCACGUUUAGGCCUAGAUUCAAUCAGAUCGUUAACCGGCGAAAGCCGACACCCACAUAGCUAAUGUUUUGGUGGCGUCGGAGGUUUAACUGCUUUGGAGCUGUCAAAUGGGGGGAAGACGGAUGGUGUGAUCAAGUGAUGCACUUGAGGAGAUGAGGAAAAACACUUCAGUCAAGCACAUCAGUAAAAUGUUCCUGCCGUUUUCAAUAAAUAACUCUCCUUAUUUCCAUCCAAACAUUUCCGUAUGAUGACUAAUUCAGCUCCAAACUAUAACCGUAUUACCAUUCCACCACGCAAUAAGACACAAUGUUACUGUAAACAAACCCCUGCAUUUAUUUACAUUAAAAUGAAUGCCAACAAAAAAGCAUUCCUAUCACAAGUGGUCAAUUGUUCAAUAUCAUGAAAAUAAACAAACCUGUUUGAAAAGCUAUGAUGAAUAUACAAUCCAUUUCAAAUGUGUUAUAUAUUAAUAUUUUGGAAAGCCAACAAUGUC